rnacentral:rRNA from 1 species
ACGCUUUGUGGUCCAACUGAUUUGAAGAGCUUGCUCAGAUAUGACGAUGGACAUUGCAAAGAGUGGCGAACGGGUGAGUAACACGUGGGAAACCUACCUCUUAGCAGGGGAUAACACUUGGAAACAAGUGCUAAUACCGUAUAACACUAAUAACCGCAUGGUUAUUAGUUAAAAGAUGGUCUUGCUAUCACUAAGAGAUGGUCCCGCGGUGUAUUAGCUAGUUGGUAAGGUAAUGGCUUACCAAGGCAAUGAUACAUAGCCGAGUUGAGAGACUGAUCGGCCACAAUGGGACUGAGACACGGCCCAUACUCCUACGGGAGGCAGCAGUAGGGAAUCUUCCACAAUGGACGAAAGUCUGAUGGAGCAACGCCGCGUGUGUGAUGAAGGGUUUCGGCUCGUAAAACACUGUUGUAAGAGAAGAAUGACAUUGAGAGUAACUGUUCAGUGUGUGACGGUAUCUUACCAGAAAGGAACGGCUAAAUACGUGCCAGCAGCCGCGGUAAUACGUAUGUUCCAAGCGUUAUCCGGAUUUAUUGGGCGUAAAGCGAGCGCAGACGGUUAUUUAAGUCCGAAGUGAAAGCCCACAGCUUAACUGUGGAAGUGCUUUGGAAACUGGAUAACUUGAGUGCAGUAGAGGAGAGUGGAACUCCAUGUGUAGCGGUGAAAUGCGUAGAUAUAUGGAAGAACACCAGUGGCGAAGGCGGCUCUCUGGACUGUAACUGACGUUGAGGCUCGAAAGUGUGGGUAGCAAACAGGAUUAGAUACCCUGGUAGUCCACACCGUAAACGAUGAGUGCUAGAUGUUUGAGGGUUUCCGCCCUUAAGUGUCGCAGCUAACGCAUUAAGCACUCCGCCUGGGGAGUACGACCGCAAGGUUGAAACUCAAAGGAAUUGACGGGGACCCGCACAAGCGGUGGAGCAUGUGGUUUAAUUCGAAGCAACGCGAAGAACCUUACCAGGUCUUGACAUCCUUUGACCACUUCAGAGAUGAAGCUUUCCCUUCGGGGACAAAGUGACAGGUGGUGCAUGGUUGUCGUCAGCUCGUGUCGUGAGAUGUUGGGGUUAAGUCCCGCAACGAGCGCAACCCUUAUUACUAG